AACGUAGGGGGCAAGCGUUGUUCGGAAUUACUGGGCGUAAAGCGCGUGUAGGCGGCUUGGCAAGUCGGAAGUGAAAGCCCUCGGCUCAACCGGGGAACUGCUUUCGAAACUGCCAGGCUUGAGUGCGGGAGGGGAGAGCGGAAUUCCCGGUGUAGCGGUGAAAUGCGUAGAUAUCGGGAAGAACACCGGUGGCGAAGGCGGCUCUCUGGACCGUGACUGACGCUGAGACGCGAAAGCGUGGGGAGCAAACAGG
rnacentral:rRNA from 1 species